rnacentral:rRNA from 1 species
GAUGAACGCUGGCGGCGUGCUUAACACAUGCAAGUCGAACGAAGCACUGUAUUUGAUUUCCUUCGGGACUGAUUAUUUUGUGACUGAGUGGCGGACGGGUGAGUAACGCGUGGGUAACCUGCCUUGUACAGGGGGAUAACAGAUGGAAACGGCUGCUAAUACCGCAUAAGCGCACAGCAUCGCAUGAUGCAGUGUGAAAAACUCCGGUGGUAUAAGAUGGACACGCGUUGGAUGAGCUAGUUGGUGAGGUAACGGCCCACCAAGGCGACGAUCCAUAGACGACAUGAGAGGGUGACCGGACACACUGGCGCUGAGACACGGUCCAAAAUCCUCCGCGAGGCAGCAGUGGGUAAUAUUGCAACAUGGGCGAAAGGCUGAUGCAGCGACGACGCGUGAGCGAAGAAGUAUUUCGGUAUGUAAAGCUCUAUCAGCAGGGCAGAUCAUGACGGUACCUGAUUAAGAAGCACCGGCUAACUACGUG